rnacentral:lncRNA from 1 species
AGCAAGGUGAUAAGCUUCAGUGAUCCUUUCCUACCCUACAGUGGCAGAUCAGUGGCAUCUCUGUCCCGGUUAACCCAUCUGUAUACCACAGCAAGGGAAAGAGAAUUGCUACGUUUCCAUAAGUAAGUCUUCUAGACCUGUGUUCUCCUAUAACUCAGUGCCUGUGAGUGGGAAUCCUCAAGGUGAGAUGUAGUACUCCAUUAGGACCAAGAAGUAGUACAGUCACGAGGGAUAAAUUUGUAUGAUUUAGUUUAUUUGCCCAGAGUUCUGUCAUAUCUCCACAGGGCUCCAAAUUUGAAGCACAGUGCACACAGACUGGAAAUCCAUAUAUGCAAAGCGACUGAAAAUUAUUCCUUUGACUCCAACUACGUGAACAGCCGAGCCCAUUUAAUCAAAAGCAGCUCCACCUUCAAGGACUUAGAGGGCAACAGCCUAAAGGAUAGCGGCCAUGAGGAGAGUGACCAGACCGACAGUGAACAUGAUAUCCAGCGGAGCCUGUAUUGUGACACAGCGGUCAAUGACGUGCUGAACACCAGUGUGACCUCCAUGGGAUCUCAGAUGCCUGACCAUGUACCUGAAUUCAACCGAUCAGUUGAGUUGCAGAGAACAUAGCACUUAGGACACCAAAGGGGUGAGUUUUAUUUCCAUAUCAGGCUAGUUAGCUUUACCCAGAAGGAGACUCUUCUCUGACCACGUAUUGCAUACUAUUUACCGAGGAGACAGAGUACAAAACUUCCCGUUUUGUCUCUGAGGUGGUGAUGCCACCAAAUCCCUCUAGCUACCAAGCAAAUGCAAGCCACUGGUCAUAGGAGACACCAGAG